CAGAAAACCAGGACCCCCUCCAUGAUGCAGGCUAUGGGGCCACAUAAAACUUUGUCCAGGGUUACUACAUAACAUAAAGAACCCCCUGAAUGAUGUAGGCUAUGGGGCCACAUAAGACUUUGUCCAUCCAGGGUUACGAUGAAUGCAAAAUUUAAACUAAAGAACCCCCUGAAUGAUGUAGGCUAUGGGGCCACAUAAGACUUUGUCCAUCCAGGGUUACGAUGAAUGCAAAAUUUAAACUAAAGAGCUACCAGACUGGGAUUUUAGUGUACUCCAGGAUCUAACAAAUACAUACGUACUACUACGAAGUGUGCAGUGCAUAAUAUAUAGUGUUUAGUGUAUAAUCUAACCUAAGGAUUAAGUGUAGUACAUUGUGCUUUUUAGUGUCACAAGAGUUUAAUAAAGAAUUAUACCUUCAAGAACCAUCCUUUGCCAUUGGAAUAACCACACUACACAUCAUGCAAUCUACUUGCAUGUCACACAGGUAAGGUCUCUAACUUUUUCUUAGUUUAAGGCAUAUUUCCAAGUGUCGUUCCGGCUUACGACGA